UCGGCCUUCUUUUUGUCAGUCCCCGUCGAUGGAGCGAGUUGAAUGUCACGUACGCGCACGGCGCUGUGCAGGAAUCUAGUAAAUCUAAGCGACUGCAAUGAAAUGAGAGAUGGAGUUGGGGUAAUUAGAAAAUAAAAUUAAACAAAGCACCGAAAUGGUGAGUAGGUAACACAGUAAGUACUCGCCAGGCAGAGGGCAGAUCGGGUCAGCGAGGGCUAUUUGGGUGAGCUUCUGGGAUGGGAGGUUGGCGUGAGAGAGGCUUCGAGGGGUGUGGGCUUCAACCUGACAUGGCAAGUGUGGUUUAAUAGGAGCAGGUGCCUGCGGGGCCAGGACGGCUGCGAGGGCGAGGGGGGCUGGGAGCCGGGCAGGUAAGCCUACAGGUGGAAGAGACGGAUCAGGAACAGGACGGGAGGAAGUGGGAAUCCAGCUUCCCUGGAACUGACCGGGAGGCCACUCCACCUUAAAUCCACCUGCGUUUCCCUCCGCGUCUUCCCACAACCCCGGCAAGAACUCCACUGUCUGUCUCAAUCAACUGAUUUCUGAUUGCAUUACGACCAGUUAACCGAAUUAGUUGAGAGAUGGAGAAAUGUCUGCAACAUCAUCCCAUUUACGCUGGUGGCCAGAGUUCCAGGAGCCCACCCAGGAUGCCUACACGACAUUCAGUUGCCACGUCUCCUGAGGCUCCCGUUGGCUGCGACCUUGCAAACACCGAGAAGAACUAAGAUGCAAUACAGAACACACCCCUGCUGGGAUCCGUCGCACGUUUCCUCCUCCUGAGACCGAGGUUGGGUGCUUCGGACCAAGGGAACCAAAGCCAACUGCCAUGUUCCUCACAUAGCAUCUCUGGCCGACACCGCCCUCACGGUCCAUGGGCUCACCGGGUCUCCCCUGGCCAGUAUUUAGCAAAUUCUUUGGAAUAUUGAGAAAAUUUUCACUCCCUCAUAAAAUGAAAGACAGAAAGCCAACACACACAGAAAUGUCUCAGCCUUUACACAGUGUGACAUGAUUCUUCAUGUCCUGUAGCUGCCUUUUUACCUUUGAUAAGAAUAUUGUUCACCUGUGAGUUUCUGAACAUUUCACCUGCAAAAAAGGAAGGAAAUUCUACAGUUCAUCUUUUUUAAUGAAAAAAGAAAGUCCUGGGCAGCCCAGGUGGCUCAGCGGUUUAGUGUUGCCUUCAGCCUGGGCCAUGAUCCUGGAGACCUGGGAUCAA